rnacentral:rRNA from 1 species
UGCGCAGGCGGCUUGGUAUGUCAGAUGUGAAAGCCCACGGCUCAACCGUGGAACUGCAUUUGAAACUACCAGGCUAGAGUAUUGGAGAGGUAAGCGGAAUUCCUAGUGUAGCGGUGAAAUGCGUAGAUAUUAGGAGGAACACCAAAGGCGAAGGCAGCUUACUGGACAAUUACUGACGCUCAGGCACGAAAGCGUGGGGAGCGAAAG